rnacentral:rRNA from 1 species
UACGAAGGGGGCUAGCGUUGCUCGGAAUCACUGGGCGUAAAGCGCACGUAGGCGGCCUUUUAAGUCAGGGGUGAAAUCCUGGAGCUCAACUCCAGAACUGCCUUUGAUACUGAGAAGCUUGAGUUCGGGAGAGGUGAGUGGAACUGCGAGUGUAGAGGUGAAAUUCGUAGAUAUUCGCAAGAACACCAGUGGCGAAGGCGGCUCACUGGCCCGAUACUGACGCUGAGGUGCGAAAGCGUGGGGAGCAAACAGG